rnacentral:sRNA from 1 species
UUAUGGCUUCCAGAGACACCUUCCUGAGAGAAGGGCUUAUGCUGAUGUGUUCCUCCUGCCUUCCACUGCGUGGAUGGCUCUACAAAGGGCCAGGGCGCAGGCAGUGUGGACAACACACUGACCCCGGUGCUGUGGGAGUGGGCACUGUUGGGAGGCAGCGUGUUCCAGGCAGGUGCAGAGGUGGGAGGCAGCAUCUUCCCAGCUAGAUGUCCCCAGGUGAGGGGCCUCAUCGCCCACCCCCAGCGCUGUCCCUACAGGUGCAGCAGGAGCGGGACGAGCUCUAUGGGAAGUUCACCGCAGCCAUCCAGGAGGUGCAGCAGAAGACAGGGUUCAAGAACCUCGUGCUAGAACGCAAGCUGCAGGCUCUGAGCGCCGCUGUGGAGAAGAAGGAGGUGCAGUUCAACGAGGUCCUGGCUGCCUCUAACCUGGACCCUGCAGCCCUGACGCUGGUGUCCCGCAAGCUGGAGGAUGUUCUUGAAUCGAAGAACAGCACCAUCCAGGACCUGCAGUAUGAGCUGGCCCGGGUCUGUAAGGCCCAUAACGACCUGCCCUGUCUCCACAGGCCCAUAACGACCUGCCCUGUCUCCACAGGCCCAUAACGACCUGCUGCGCACGUAUGAGGCAAAGCUGCUGGCCUUCGGGAUCCCUCUGGACAACGUGGGCUUCACGCCCUUGGAAACAGCUGUGAUCGGACAGACGCUGGGCCAGGGCCCCGCAGGACUGGUGGGCACCCCGACGUAGCUGCCCCCCUGGGGGGCCACAGCCCAGAGAACCAGCCUAGGAACACUCUUGGGAUGACACCCCUUAUUACACCAAGGACAGCAAGUUUUUUAGAUUUUAUCAUCAGCAAAUGAAAGCUUUUCACAUGUU